GUGGGGAAUAUUGGACAAUGGGCGAAAGCCUGAUCCAGCCAUGCCGCGUGUGUGAAGAAGGUCUUCGGAUUGUAAAGCACUUUAAGUUGGGAGGAAGGGCAGUAAGUUAAUACCUUGCUGUUUUGACGUUACCAACAGAAUAAGCACCGGCUAACUUCGUGCCAGCAGCCGCGGUAAUACGAAGGGUGCAAGCGUUAAUCGGAAUUACUGGGCGUAAAGCGCGCGUAGGUGGUUCAGCAAGUUGAAGGUGAAAUCCCCGGGCUCAACCUGGGAACUGCCUCGAAAAAUGCUGAGCUAGAGUACGGUAGAGGGUAGUGGAAUUUCCUGUGUAGCGGUGAAAUGCGUAGAUAUAGGAAGGAACACCAGUGGCGAAGGCGACUACCUGGACUGAUACUGACACUGAGGUGCGAAAGCGUGGGGAGCAAACAGGAUUAGAAACCCGUGUAGUCC
rnacentral:rRNA from 1 species